UACGAAGGGAGCUAGCGUUGUUCGGAAUCACUGGGCGUAAAGCGCACGUAGGCGGACAUUUAAGUCAGGGGUGAAAUCCCGGGGCUCAACCCCGGAACUGCCUUUGAUACUGGGUGUCUGGAGUCCGGAAGAGGUGAGUGGAAUUCCGAGUGUAGAGGUGAAAUUCGUAGAUAUUCGGAGGAACACCAGUGGCGAAGGCGGCUCACUGGUCCGGUACUGACGCUGAGGUGUGAAAGCGUGGGGAGCAAACAGG
rnacentral:rRNA from 1 species